UAGGGAAUCUUCGGCAAUGGACGAAAGUCUGACCGAGCAACGCCGCGUGAGUGAAGAAGGUUUUCGGAUCGUAAAACUCUGUUGUUAGAGAAGAACAAGGACGUUAGUAACUGAACGUCCCCUGACGGUAUCUAACCGGAAAGCCACGGCUAACUACGUGCCAGCAGCCGCGGUAAUACGUAGGUGGCAAGCGUUGUCCGGAUUUAUUGGGCGUAAAGCGAGCGCAGGCGGUUUCUUAAGUCUGAUGUGAAAGCCCCCGGCUCAACCGGGGAGGGUCAUUGGAAACUGGGAGACUUGAGUGCAGAAGAGGGGAGUGGAAUUCCAUGUGUAGCGGUGAAAUGCGUAGAUAUAUGGAGGAACACCAGUGGCGAAGGCGGCUCUCUGGUCUGUAACUGACGCUGAGGCUCGAAAGCGUGGGGAGCAAACAGG
rnacentral:rRNA from 1 species